rfam:Helicobacter bizzozeronii CIII-1 main chromosome, complete genome
GUAGUGGUUUUUGUGUGAUUUGGUAUUUUCUUUGGUAGAAUCUGCCACCUAAGAGAACCCUCUUAGCCUAGGUUGUAGCUUCUUUGAACUACGCAAGAAUAGUAACGGUCGUUUGGGU